rnacentral:rRNA from 1 species
GACGAACGCUGGCGGCGUGCUUAACACAUGCAAGUCGAGCGGAAAGGCCACUUCGGUGGUACUCGAGCGGCGAACGGGUGAGUAACACGUGGGUAAUCUGCCCCUCACUUUGGGAUAGCCACCGGAAACGGUGAUUAAUACCGGAUAUGACCAUAUGUCGCAUGGCGUGUGGUGGAAAGUUUUUCGGUGAGGGAUGUGCUCGCGGCCUAUCAGCUUGAUGGUGAGGUAAUGGCUCACCAUGGCUUCGACGGGUAGCCGGCCUGAGAGGGUGACCGGUCACACUGGGACUGAGACACGGCCCAGACUCCUACGGGAGGCAGCAGUGGGGAAUAUUGGACAAUGGGCGGAAGCCUGAUCCAGCAACGCCGCGUGAGGGAUGACGGCCUUCGGGUUGUAAACCUCUUUCAGUACCGACGAAGCGCAAGUGACGGUAGGUACAGAAGAAGCACCGGCCAACUACGUG